GAUCAUGGCUCAGGAUGAACGCUAGCGACAGGCUUAACACAUGCAAGUCGAGGGGCAGCGGGGAGUAGCAAUACUUCGCCGGCGACCGGCGCACGGGUGAGUAACACGUGUGCAACCAACCCCGUACCGGGAGAUAACCCGCGGAAACGUGGACUAACAUCCCAUGAUACUCGAGAGCCGCAUGGCUCUCGAUUUAAAAUUCCGGUGGUACGGGACGGGCACGUGCGACAUUAGGUAGUUGGCGGGGUAACGG
rnacentral:rRNA from 1 species